rnacentral:rRNA from 1 species
GCGUAUAUAUAUAUAUAUAUAUAUGUGCGCAUACAUGCAUGCGAGAGGAACAACUGUGAUGACUCCACAAGGAAAAACAAAAAGCGCACCACGUUAUAUACCACACAUUGUGUGUAUAAUGUGUAUGUGUGUGUGUGUACUUUGUGGUUUUGUUGUCUCUGUGUGUUGCGUCCUCUUCGCACCAAGAUUUGCACGCACAUGUGUGCAUGCAUAUGUACUAUAUAUUAUGUACAUAUGUGUGUAUGUGUGUGUAAAAAAAAAAACC